rnacentral:lncRNA from 1 species
CUUCUCAGUGUCCAGUGCGCAGGUGCUGCUGUCUCUGCUGUGCUGAGCAUUACAGCCUGAGCGAUGCUUCCACCAUGGAGUCAGUUGUGCUCAGGUCUUAGGACCCUGUUACAAAAGCUGGUAGGUGAAAGUUUGAAGAGGGAAAGCAUGUGGUGUCAAAUAUGUCCCAGCCAAUACUGAUUGAUUUCCAAGGGGCAAAUAACGUAGUAAUGCAGGAAAUGACAGUCUCUGCCCUGCCUAGGUGAUCAAAAUUAAUAUCACCAGAAAUUAAACAAAUCAGUGUUGCAUGUCUCCUUAAAGCAAUGUCCUACAAUGGACACACUGCUCCUGUGAUGUUAUUGUCAAAAAAAAAAUCGUAUCUCAAUUUUGUUUGAAGAGCAGAGAAGCCCCAGCAGAAGGCAUUGCACCAAGCAUAACCCAUGUUCUUUAAAAAAAAAAAACAAAAACAAACAAAAAAACAUGCCAAGGUCACAAGAAACAAUGUAAGCAGAGACAUCACUCUGGCUUAAAGACUAGAGUGAUUUAUCAUCCGAGUGCAGUCCAUGUGCCUGUGUUGGGGCAUUUGCCAGGGAAUUACUACAGCUGUAAAGUAACUAAUGAAAUGAAAGUAUAAACUAUGGGUUAGAUGAUAGCAAUAUCUCAAUGUUAAAUAUCCUGUCUGUAAUAGUGACCAACUCCUUAAUGUCUGCAACUGACUCUCAGGUGUUGUAGAAACAAGGACACACAAAUGCACACAUGUGCA